UAUUGUCACCUCUCACUGUCAGCUUGGAAGGGACGGGUCUCCAGUUUGUCCCUGGCUCCUUCCUGCUCCGUGGAGUGGGAGGCCCCCGUCUGCAGCUGCACCCUAGAGGGAAUAUCCUGCCUGCUCUUAGCCCCCCUGAAGAGCACAGGGAGGCUCAGAUCCGCAGCAGCAGUUUGGGCGGGGCUCCUGCCUGCUCCUUAGAGCUGGAGGCCCAGGUCUACAGCCAGGAGAGGCAGCUGCAGCUGCACCUGGGAGAGCAGACCCUGCCCUCUCCUGGCGCCCCACUGAGAGCUUAGGGAGGCGCCGAUACACAAGCACAGUUUGGGCAACUGCAACCCCGUCCAGGAGGGUGGGGCUCCUGCCUGCUCCAUAGCGGAGGAGACCUGGGUCGAUAUCCAUAGUUUGGAUGGCUUCAGAGGCAUCCAGAGAGCUCCUGCCCCAGCUCAGAAGGGAUGGGACUUCCACUGGCUCCACGGAGUGUGCAGCCCCAACCGCGUCUCCCUGCAGCAGUCAGCGCAAUGGCAGCAGCCAGUGGCAUCACAAUCACAGCUGGGAAAGUAGAUGAGCACUGGGCUUGCCCAGAAUGGAUAUUUGAACAUGAAUUACCUUUUACGAGAUGCUGUUUCAUCUCUUCUCAAGCCUGUAAUUUAAGGUUCACCUUGAAAGAAAUAUGGACUCGUAACUGCUACAUUACACUGAUCCUUUACUUUAAUUAAACAGAAAAUAGGAUACUCCAAAUCAGUGAUCACACAAAGGACUGGAUACAGACUGCGGAGGAUUUACUACAUGAUACGUUCAUAAAGAAUGAAUCAACGUCUGGAGCCUCACACAGACCCUUUUCCAUUGAGUCAGCAGGAGAAAUGGAGAAAUGAUGUUACUGCCGGGCAAAAAAAGGUAGAGCAAUUAUAGCCGGGAGAAGGAUAAAGGAAAAUAAACCUCUACUCAUUAAGGUAUGGUAAGAGAAAACAUGGGACUGGAUACUUUAUACCAGUAUCAUUACAAGUCUCCUGCCACUGAGGGGAAAUCAGAAAACGCUUUCCUUUAUAAGGCCUACCAAAGAUACACACUGAAUUUUACCUGCCAUGGGGGAAAGAGGCAAGAUCACUGAGAAUGUCCCUGUCUUAAGAUCAGAUUAGAAGAUUGGACCAGGAGUACAGAGAACUGUCCCUGCUCCUCAUCAAUAGCCUAGAACGUGCCAAGUAACUGCAAAACCAGGUCAACGAUAGAGGAGGAAUAAGGGUGUAUAGUGCAAUUAUCUCUGUGACAUAGUCACAACAACCUUAUACUGAGUAAAAGCAAUCAUCAUACUCAGACCUUUAACCUGGCUCAGUGAUGUCUCUGAUGUUGAUUACUGAUUUUACCAACAUGGGAUGGAACAUGACUGUGAUUAAUCCAGUAAACUAAAUGCUGUAUCAGAAAAGGUAAGGAAGAUAAAUUGCCAGAAUUUAAGAAUUUAACACACGAAAUAUAAACUAUAAGAAAGACUCAAAUGGAAUUGCUAGGAGAAUAAAUAAAAACAGGGGAAUGAAAAUAAUGCCUUAGAAAAGCUCAUCAGUAGACUUAAUUGUCUUUUAUAGAACACUACACAAUUGUAGUCAAACUCUUUAAAAUAUUUUCAAGAGAUUUAUUCUGAGCUAAAUAUGAAUGACCAUGGCCCAUGACACAGCCCUCAGGAGAUCCUGAGAACAUGUUCCUGAGGUGGUUAGAGCACAGGCUGGUAUUAUACAACUUUGGGAGACAUGAGACAUCAAUCAAAUGCACUUAGAUGUACAUUGGUUUGCCUCAGAAAGGCAGGGCAACUCGAAGUGGAG